CUGGAGGUUGCCUAGGUAUGUGCCUCAGUGACAGAUGGUGUUCUCUCAGAAGAGUUAAUUCAAGUUAGUUUGUAACCUUCAUUUGGCACCUCAUCUACUCUCUACCAUAACUCCCAUGAUGCUCAGCCAGUCACAUACCCAGUUGACAAACUUGGAACACCUGGAAAGGUUCCAUACAAAUUAAAUCAGUGCUUAAAGUAAUAAACUGGACAUUAG